rnacentral:rRNA from 1 species
AACGAACGCUGGCGGCGUGCCUAACACAUGCAAGUCGAACGAGAAAGGGGCUUCGGCUCCGAGUAAAGUGGCGCAUGGGUGAGUAACACGUGGGUAACCUGCCUCUAAGAUUGGGAUAACUCGUCGAAAGAUGAGCUAAUACCGAAUAAGACCACAGUUCCCGCGGGAACAGGGGUCAAAGGUAGCCUCUGCUUGCAAGCUAUCACUUAGAGAUGGGCCUGCGCACCAUUAGCUAGUUGGUAGGGUAACGGCCUACCAAGGCAAAGAUGGUUAGCUGGUCUGAGAGGAUGAUCAGCCACACUGGAACUGAGACACGGUCCAGACUCCUACGGGAGGCAGCAGUGGGGAAUAUUGCGCAAUGGGCGAAAGCUUGACGCAGCAACGCCGCGUGAGUGAUGAAGGCCUUCGGGUCGUAAAGCUCUGUCGGGAGGAACGAAUGCUCCUGAGGUUAACAGCCUCGGGAGGUGACGGUACCUUCAAAGGAAGCACCGGCUAACUCUGUG